rnacentral:lncRNA from 1 species
CGCCGGUUUAGAAAGGAAGAAAGACUUGGCAUCUGAAGGGCCUGCUUGACCUGGGGGAGACUCCAGCAGCUUUUCUGCCAUCAGGAAGGAGGAUGCUGCCCACACUCACCGGGCUUCGGCUGCUUUCCCAUGAGAUGUGAUUAAUCUUAGAUUUAUGGGGCAUAUAAGGAUUAUAGACAUUGUUUCUUCAAAGAUGCCUUCUGUCCUUCCUGUUCCUCCCUGUGGAGGGUUGAGUGAGAAUGGCCCCAUAGGCUCAUCUGUUGGAGUGCUUGGUCUCCAGUUACAGCAGUGGGGCUCAACCUUCCUAAUGCUGUGAUGCUUUAAUACAGUUCCUCAAAUGGUGAUCCCCAACCAUAAAAUUACUUUUGC